GCUUGUUUUCCUCGUGACUGUAAAGAGGCAUUUAAUCAAAGUAAUACAUGCAGUGGAGUAUAUACUAUUAAACCUGAUGAAUUACCAGCUUUUAAGGUUUACUGUGAUAUGAGUAAUGGAGGUGGCUGGACUGUAUUUCAAAGAAGAAUGGAUGGCACUGUUAACUUCUAUCUCAAAUGGGCCGACUAUGUUAAAGGAUUCGGAGACCUCAAUGGAGAGUUUUAGCUGGGACUUAAUAAUAUAUACCGGCUGACAAAAAGCAGCACUAGCCUUCGUAUUGACUUGGAAGAUUUUGAAGAGAAUAAGAGGUAUGCCACUUAUACUAGCUUUGAAGUAGGAAAUGCAGCCACGCAGUACCUACUGACUGUAUCAGGUUAUGGAGGUAAUGCUGGUGAUGGUAUGGCAUAUCACAAUGGAAUGAAGUUCACAACAUAUGAUUACGACAAUGACACUGGCACAGGAAAUUGUGGACUUAUCUGUAGUGGAGCAUGGUGGUACAAAUAUUGUCAUACCGCUAAUCUCAAUGGUUUAUAUUUAGUGGGUAGUCACACUUCAUAUGCUAAUGGUGUCAACUGAUAUCCUUUUAAGGGGUUCUACUAUUAAGGUUUACUGUGAUAUGAGUAAUGGAGGUGGCUGGACUGUAUGUCAAAGAAGAAUUGACAGCACUGAUCUCAAAUGGGCUGACUAUGUUCAAGGAUUUGGAUGUUUAAAGAGAGUUUGGCUCGGACUUAAUUAAACUUACAAGAAGCAGCACUAGCUGUUGUAUCAUUAAAGGAGCAAAAUGAGGUAUACAUAAUUAUCAUUCCUAACAAUAUUAUCUCUGCCCCUCUCCUCUCUCUCUCCUCUAUUCCACUUGAGUCCCAGUGAUUCAGUACUUGCAGAGUAUAUUAAGAGGACACACUGUAAGAGACGAGUGUUUCACACCUAAGAGAAAAUACAGAGAUGAAACGAGCUCUCAAAACUACAAAUAGUAUUCUCUCUGGACAUUAUGUUAGAAUGAACUUGCGACAAAAAUGAAU